AUGAUCCUCAGCUUGCUGGGGGGAUUAGUGGCGAACGGGUGAGUAACACGUGAGUAACCUGCCCUUGACUCUGGGAUAAGCCUGGGAAACUGGGUCUAAUACCGGAUAUGACCGCUCACCGCAUGGUGUGGUGGUGGAAAGCUUUUGUGGUUUUGGAUGGACUCGCGGCCUAUCAGCUUGUUGGUGGGGUAAUGGCCUACCAAGGCGACGACGGGUAGCCGGCCUGAGAGGGUGACCGGCCACACUGGGACUGAGACACGGCCCAGACUCCUACGGGAGGCAGCAGUGGGGAAUAUUGCACAAUGGGCGCAAGCCUGAUGCAGCGACGCCGCGUGAGGGAUGACGGCCUUCGGGUUGUAAACCUCUUUCAGUAGGGAAGAAGCGCAAGUGACGGUACCUGCAGAAGAAGCGCCGGCUAACUACGUGCCAGCAGCCGCGGUAAUACGUAGGGCGCAAGCGUUAUCCGGAAUUAUUGGGCGUAAAGAGCUCGUAGGCGGUUUGUCGCGUCUGCUGUGAAAGACCGGGGCUCAACUCCGGUUCUGCAGUGGGUACGGGCAGACUAGAGUGAUGUAGGGGAGACUGGAAUUCCUGGUGUAGCGGUGAAAUGCGCAGAUAUCAGGAGGAACACCGAUGGCGAAGGCAGGUCUCUGGGCAUUAACUGACGCUGAGGAGCGAAAGCAUGGGGAGCGAACAGGAUUAGAUACCCUGGUAGUCCAUGCCGUAAACGUUGGGCACUAGGUGUGGGGGACAUUCCACGUUUUCCGCGCCGUAGCUAACGCAUUAAGUGCCCCGCCUGGGGAGUACGGCCGCAAGGCUAAAACUCAAAGGAAUUGACGGGGGCCCGCACAAGCGGCGGAGCAUGCGGAUUAAUUCGAUGCAACGCGAAGAACCUUACCAAGGCUUGACAUGGACCGGUAAUGCCUGGAAACAGGUGCC
rnacentral:rRNA from 1 species